CCGAGUUUACAACUCCCAAACCCCUGUGAACAUACCUUUAAUGUUGCCUCGGCGGAUCAGCCCGCGCCCCGUAAAACGGGACGGCCCGCCGCAGGAACCCUAAACUCUGUUUUUAGUGGAACUUCUGAGUAUAAAAAACAAAUAAAUCA
rnacentral:misc_RNA from 1 species